UAGGCGAGGGAGGACGCGCGACGCUGCGUCUCUCGGAGCCUCUUGACACGCGCUUUGGAACGUUGUAUUUUGGCGUUGAGAGAAUUGCCUUUGUUUAUAUGUUAAAAAGAGUGACACGAACGUUUCUUAGUGUUGUGUUCAUGGCUGAAUUUUGAUGAAAGUGAUUUUUUUGUGGAUGUUGUGUUUUUUUGAGUUUUUAAGCGAUCUUUCUAAUUGACGGGAACACCCGAGACCACAAUAUCAGCCGGAUUUGGAUGUAACGCCCGUGAACAUUUUUGGUCCUUGUGAGAAAAGGGAUUAUCUGGAAAGCCUUUAACCCUCCGAUACCUUUGGAUCACGCAAGGACCCGGCAGCACCACGGUAUACUAAAGGCAGGUGUCACCGGACCCCGAAAAACCGCCACCCAAAACGGGACGCUCUAUAAUUAGGUAAGUCCGUUAGAGGAAGUGCCAUUGUCUGUGUCAGCGGGCUGUCUGUGGCACCGCCUGUCUGUCCUGCAUGCGUGUGCUGAUGGCCUG